AUUGAACGCUGGCGGCAUGCCUUACACAUGCAAGUCGAACGGCAGCACGGGAGCAAUCCUGGUGGCGAGUGGCGAACGGGUGAGUAAUAUAUCGGAACGUGCCCAGUCGUGGGGAUAACGUAGCGAAAGCUACGCUAAUACCGCAUACGAUCUAUGGAUGAAAGCGGGGGAUCGCAAGACCUCGCGCGAUUGGAGCGGCCGAUAUCAGAUUAGGUAGUUGGUGAGGUAAAGGCUCACCAAGCCGACGAUCUGUAGCUGGUCUGAGAGGACGACCAGCCACACUGGGACUGAGACACGGCCCAGACUCCUACGGGAGGCAGCAGUGGGGAAUUUUGGACGAAUGGGCGCAAGCCUGAUCCAGCAAUGCCGCGUGCAGGAUGAAGGCCUUCGG
rnacentral:rRNA from 1 species